rnacentral:lncRNA from 1 species
CAUGUGUAUGGAAAAGUACUCCUGCAAGGGAUUUUGCAACUUGCUUUUUCAUGCAACAUGUUUUUGAGAUUUAUCCAUACAGAUACUUGUAGCAACAUUUUGUUGCGGUUCCUGGGUUGUUAUUUUAACUUUUAUUUUAGGUUCAGGGGUACAUGUACAGGUUUGUCAUAUAGGUAAAUUGCAUGUCACAGGGGUUUUGUGUACAGAUUAUUUUGUCACCCAGGUAAUAAGCUUAUUGUCUGUUCAGGGAUUCAAUUUUUUCUUGGCUCAGUCUUGGGAGGUUUUAUGUUUUAUAGAAUUCCUUCCAUAGAAGAAAUGGAAUUUAUCAAUUUCUUCUAUGUUUUCUAGUUUGUGCACACAGAGGUGUUCAUAGUAUCCUCAUAGUCACUGAGGGUUCUUUGAAUUUUCGUAGGGUGUUAAUGGCCCCUUUGUCACUUCUGAUUGUGUUUAUUUGGAUUUUAUCUCUUUACUAGUCUAGACAGUGGUCUAUCAAUUGUAUUUGACAAUAGCUGAUUCGAUCAAGUGGCAGAAAGGGUAUCAGUGAUUGAAGAUCAAAUUAAUGAAAUAAAGCCAGAAGACAAGGUUAGAGAAAAAAGAGUAAAAAGAAAUGAACAAAGCCUCCAAGAAAUAUGGGACUAUGUGAGAACACCAAAUCUAUGUUUGAUUGGUGUACCUGAAAGUGAUGGGGAGAAUGGAACCACGUUGGAAAACACUCUUCAGUAUAUUAUCCAGGAGAACUUCCCCAACCUAGCAAGGCAGGCCAACAUUCAAAUUCAGGAAAUACAGAGAACACCACAAACAUACUCCUCAAGAAGAGCAACCCCAAGACACAUAAUUGUCCGAUUCACCAAGGUUGAAAUGAUCCAUCACAUAAACAGAACCAAUGACAAAAGCCACAUGAUUAUCUCAAUAGAUGCAAAAAAGGCCUUCCACAAAAUCCAACAGCCUUUCAUGCUAAAAACUCUCAAUAAACUAGGUAUUGAUGGAACAUACCUCAAAAUAAUAAGAGCUAUUUAUGACAAACCCACAGCCAGUAUCAUACUGAACCUAUUCAUAUUCUGAAUUCUGUUUCUGUCAUUUCAAUAAUUUUAUCCUGGUUAAGAACCAUUACUGGGGAACUAGUGUGGUUAUUUGGAGGUAAGAAGAUACUCUCGCUUUUUGAGUUACCAGAGUUCUUGUACUGGUUCACUUAUUCUUUGUGGGCUGAUAUUCCUUCAAUCUUUGAAGUUGCUGUCCUUUGGAUUUUUUUUUUUCUCUUAUCCUCUUUGAUGUCCUUGGGGGUUUGAUUGUAGUAUAGGGUGGGUUCAGUCAACUGGUUUCAUUUCUGGAAGAUUUCAGGGGAACAAGGCUCAGCUCAUCACUCAUGGACUGUGUCCUGUAACUCCUGGGGGGCUGGUACCAGGACCCUGGCUUUGCUCUCUGGCCCCUUGAGGUUAGGAACCUGCUGUGCUGGAG